AGACUAUUUCAUCAAGCAAAAGGAAUUCUGGUUUGUAUAUCCUGAGUCUAUGUCUCUCAUUAGGUUUCAGGCAUUCAGUAUAAACUAAGAGUUUGUGUCUUAAGCUAUCAAUAAGCUAUUUUCCAAAUCUAGACAAAAAUGGAACCCAGGGCCAUCACUGGGAAAAGAUACAGUUCAAAUGUCCUUAACAAAUCGCCUUGUCACCUUUGUGAGCUCCCAUUGCAGAAUCAAUUCAGCUAUAUUAUCGCCUAAUACCGGUUCCUAUACAUCAAAGACCUAAAGCAGAACACAGCUUAAGCUGCAGAGACUGACUCCCCACUCCUGCUGCCCUAGGUGAAGGAUGUAAAUGGGUGUGCCUCUUGAAUUAAGAUGGAAAGCUGGCUUUAAACCACUUGGACUGAGCCAGCUUGCAGCAAACUAUGGGAGAACUGAAGAAUCAACAUGGAAGUCACUUUCAAACAUGCAGAAAUGGAUCCCACCAAUGAAAUGCAAAACAGUGGAAGGUAUUAUCUCUUGACUUUGGCAAUGGAUGUGUUGGGGAAAGGGCUCAGGCAGUGCCAGGAGCAUCAAACGGUGAAGACUAGAACCCCACAGGUGGAGGAACUGGCAGCAUAUGGAGAGGUGUGCUUGGGCCAGGUGUGGCCAGACAUAUCAAGUCCUGCAGUUGCUGUGAUCCUGCAGAGAGCUCACUCUCCAAGGGCUCAGGCUGAGCUGUCCUCCAGGUCUGGGCUUAGUAGAGAACUUGAGAGUGUCCAGGACCCAAGCACCCUCUAUUUUGCUGCUCCACCAUCUUGAGGAUGCUACACUGCAUGGUCCGAGAAGGCUCAGCACCGUGUCUACAUUCUAGUCACUAAGAGAAGGGAAGGAAGGGAGGAAGGAUAUAUAUAUCCCAUUCCUGUAAGUAGUAUGUAUAACAUUGCUAGCAUCUCACUGACCAGAAGUAUCACCGCAUCUCAUGGCAAAGGAGGUUAGGAAAUGUGAAAUCUUUUAAAUCUACAUAUAGCCAUGUGUCUAAUUAAAAAUUAUAUUACUGUGGAAGAAGGGAGGUAUGGAUAUUAGGAGAUAACUUGAAGACUCUGCCACAGUCAGUACCUUUAGAACAAUUCUCUUGGGCUAGUGAAAUCCCACAGAAAAGAUUCUUCCUAAAUCUUGACUAGAAAAUUAUAAGCCUAGUUGUCAGAGUUCUAGGCAUUGAAUGAGACGAAAAAUUGGGAUGGGCUAGUGCUUGUAGUGGUGACUGGGUCUCAUGAUAUAAUGUGUAAAGUUUUAUUCACUCAUGCCACACAUUAUCUCAUCCAAAGACCAGCUCUCCAGAAGCAAUCUAGAUUUUGGCUCAGGGUUUGGAGGUUAGCUGACUGGGUUCUUGAACAGUAAAUUGUUUUUCUGCAUGAGUGAGAAGGGCUGCAAAUCUAAUUUUCAACUAAUCUUUGUGUUUUCAGUCCCCUUUUCACUGCUAGUUCCAGAGAUAGUUGUCUCCAGCUUCUUAGUAUAAUAGAAAUUGGGCUGCUUCUCAGAUUUCCUCACUCUUAACUUAGGAUUAAGCUUUCUCAAGUCCCCUAAGUCAUUAACCACUUAUUCAUCUGCUCUACAGCUUCUAAAAUUUUGUUUUUAUUGACUUCUCACCCAUGUUCUCUGUCUGAUAGGUUUAAACUUAAAAAAAAUUGCUUACUUUUCUUAGUGGGAAGAAACAGAAAUAACUGGAGAGAGUCAACCCAUCAUCUUUAACCUAAAAUAUAAAUUGUUCUUUACAGCCAUUUAUUUUAAUACCUCACUACUUUUAUUCUCAGAACAUCUAUUAACAUUUCCCAUGGAAAAUAAAAGACUGAUGAGAUGAUGAUGGUGAUAUGAA
rnacentral:lncRNA from 1 species